rnacentral:misc_RNA from 1 species
CCCUGCCACUACCCUUCAUGAAGACAAAUCCAAUAUCUGGGUUUUCUUCCCAUGAUUCAUACAGUCUCUUGAGCCGAGCCACCAUGGGACCAGUAAGAGCGUUGAGAGAAUAUGGUCUGUUGAGAAUGGCUGCUCUUGAUUUCGCUCUUCCUUCAACCAAAACCUGGUCCUGGAGAUUAUCAUUUUGGGCGUAGUCUGGGAAAGCAGAAAAGCCUCUCUGUGUAGAGAGAAACCCAGCACUGGAGUUGAAUGAAUACCUUAAUUUUAUUAAUUCUGUCAAUCUCUGCAUCUCUCUCUGUUUAGUGUUUGCUCUUCAAUGGAUGCUCUCUAAGCACGGAAAGAAGAAGAAGAGGAAGAAGAAGGAGAGGGCCGCCUGCCUCUG